rnacentral:rRNA from 1 species
GGCUCAGAUUGAACGCUGGCGGCAUGCCUUACACAUGCAAGUCGAACGGUAGAGUAGCAAUACUCGAGAGUGGCGAACGGGUGAGUAAUAUAUCGGAACGUGCCCAGUCGUGGGGGAUAACGUAGCGAAAGCUACGCUAAUACCGCAUACGAUCUACGGAUGAAAGCGGGGGAUCGCAAGACCUCGCGCGAUUGGAGCGGCCGAUAUCAGAUUAGGUAGUUGGUGAGGUAAAGGCUCACCAAGCCGACGAUCUGUAGCUGGUCUGAGAGGACGACCAGCCACACUGGGGCUGAGACACGGCCCAGACUCCUACGGGAGGCAGCAGUGGGGAAUUUUGGACAAUGGGCGCAAGCCUGAUCCAGCAAUGCCGCGUGCAGGAUGAAGGCCUUCGGGUUGUAAACUGCUUUGUACGGAACGAAACGGUGAGCUCUAAUACAGUUUGCUAAUGACGGUACCGUAAGAAUAAGCACCGGCUAACUACGUG